UAGGUUGGACAAAAUGAAAUAGUUAAUGGGAUUAAGGUGAGUCUAAAUUUUGUUUGGGAGUUAAGCAGAUAAAGUGGAUAGGUGAGGGAGUAAAACGCACUUUUUCCAAUAAAAAAAGGCUAGUACAACAAAUAAAACUACACAAGUAUAGGAAAAUAACCAAGAGAACGAAAGGGUUACUCUGGUUUUGAUGCUUCUAAGUAACUUAUCAUAGACCUUAAUUACUCAAGCAUCUACUUACUAGAUGUGAUCGCCAUCGGGUCCUAAGAAUAAAGUGACAACUUGAGGAAACCCAUCGAACCACCCAAACUAAACCAACCGAGACCAACCAUGCAUAUGAGCAUAACCCCACUAAUCAUAAAAAACACCAGGCCGCUCUGGACAGACUGGUAUAUAAGUUUUUACACUUUGUAGGGUUGCACAUAUUUACUUAUGAGCCGUUUCCUAUUACUGGGUGAUCAACCAAUGUCACACUACAAGGUAUUUCAAAAAUUGUUGAUUCCCACCUUGUACACCCACCUGAUACUCUGCCCUCCCCCUCCCCACCCCCGUGCUACGAGACCACUAACAAUGUCAUGUGACAACUAAUUAUUUAUUUGGUCAGGUCCAUUGCCAUGGACCUCAUGAUUUUUUGGUCAUGUACUUGUCUAUCAACUGGUCCUUCUAAACCAGAGAAGGUACUAGCACCAAUCCACGUAUCAAACAACACAAACGAAAUCAAAAUCAUGCAUACAGAGCAAUCCACCCAUUCCAC
rnacentral:lncRNA from 1 species